UGGAGAUCAGCUAUCAACAUCCUAAACCAGUGUACAGUCGCAGACACAAGCGUUUCAUCUCUCUCUUCCGACAGCCAUCGGAAGCGGCCGAAAGCGAGAACUUUCUCAUACGAAUGUUGGAAUUCCUGAUCAAACACAGGAAGAAUAUAGUCCCAGUUGUAUCAGUGGUCAGAGAGAUACAUACGAUGGUGAAGAGUAGUAAUGGGGAGUUGGCUCAUACGACAAAAGAGAGAAAUAACUAUAUUGGGACGCCCCCACCAGCGGCCCCCCCUUUGUCGUUUAACUUGGAGUUGGCGAAAGACCCCCCAGGGAAGGCGUUUGUUAAAAAGAUAUUGGGUUUAGGAAGCGCGGAUAAGCUGUCCAUUUCGAAUGGAGGAGCCGGGCUGUUUGGUAGGAAGUGAUGUGCCCGCGGCAAGUACUUUUUAAUGACACACAGAAAAGCGCCAUACUCCAUAGAAUAAAAUGUAUGCAUAGACGUUGUA